rnacentral:ncRNA from 8 species
UCCUCGUUGGUAUAGUGGUGAGUAUCCCCGCCUGUCACGCGGUGAGACCGGGGUUCGAUUCCCCGACGGGGAG